CAGCUGUCUACAUGCCAAGGAGAGAGGCCUCGAAGGAACCAGCGCUGCCGACACCUGGGUCCUGGACUGCCAGCCCAGAACUGGGCAUCCAGAGCUGGGAGGAAAGUGGAGUCAUCGCAUGUCACUAAACCGAGACUGGGUAACACUGAAGGUCAACGGAUACUAAACGAUGUGUCAGGAGAUGUUUGCCAGACUUUUGGAGCCUCAUGAGACAGUCUCCCAACCCGCAGGUGUGGCUUCUGAGGACGAGCCGCAGGAGCUCAGGGAAGGACCACCCGGGACAGCUCUUCCUGGGCCUCUGCGCCUCCCGAGAUCAGGAGCUGGAACGUCCUUUCCGGGGUAAAGAUAACA